rnacentral:rRNA from 1 species
AUUGAACGCUGGCGGCAGGCCUAACACAUGCAAGUCGAACGAGUGGCGGACGGGCGAGCAAUGUCUGGGACACUGCCUGAUGGAGGGGGAUAACCACUGGAAACGGUAGCCAAUAACGUAAACUAUCAGAUGUGCCCAGAUGGGAUUAGCUAGUUGGUGGGGUAACGGCUCACCAAGGCGACGAUCCCUAGCUGGUCUGAGAGGAUGACCAGCCACACUGGAACUGAGACACGGUCCAGACUCCUACGGGAGGCAGCAGUGGGGAAUAUUGCACAAUGGGCGAAAGCCUGAUGCAGCCAUGCCGCGUGUAUGAAGAAGGCCUUCGGGUUGUAAAGUACUUUCAGCGGGGAGGCGUUACCCGCAGAAGAAGCACCGGCUAACUCCGUGCCAGCAGCCGCGGUAAUUC